AGCAAAACUGUCCAGCAUUAUGAAUCAUAAUAUAUUUUCACAAGACCAGAAGGUUAAGUCAGAGCUCCAUAGAACAGAGGAAGAUUUUUAUUUCUCUCUGCUCCUUGCCCUGCUUUCCAUCUGCAAAUACUUAGCAUGAAAAUGAGAUGGAAUCCAAAUUGAAUGUCUACUUCCACUCAGCUAAGGAAGCGGCUUGAAUGACCAAAUAGAGAAGCCGAGCAAUGUUCAAUCCUAUGGUACUUGAAUGUUUGCAAAAACUGUGCAUUUGGACAGAUGUGGAUUGUCAUCUGUUUUAUAGAAAAUGCUUUCUGACUUUGGGAUAAGAAGAUACUUUGGUGGGGAAAUACCUUUUGACAGCCUGACUCAGAGCUCAGGAAAGGGAGCCACUUCUUUCCCGAGGAAACAAGACACUGCUUAAUAAGAUCUGCCUCAAGAAUUGGCAUAGUCUUUCUUCUUCAGCCCCUCGUGGACCAUUAUCUCAACAGAAUGCAUUUCAAAUAAGACAACACAUCUGGCAAUCACAAGGAACUUUUGAAUUGGAAACUCGAUCUGUGAGGUUUUCUCCCACUAUCACCAUGGAACCCUCACGUGUUCAUCAAACAUGAACGAAGCGCCUCCUCUCUGCCUGGCAUCAUGCUAGGCAAUGAGCACCCAGAGAGCAAUAAGACAUGGCCUGACUUUAGAGAACUCAUAAAGGAAGGAAGACAGGACCAAGUACUUGGAAUGCAGUGCAGUAGUUUCACUAACAGAGUCCUGACCAAGGUGUACCUGUUCUAGACUGUUUCUUAGUGUUCAUUUAUUGUCUCCAUAGUGGGGAACGACCAUUUCAGUUAGACUAAACGCCUCGUGGCUUUGACCAACACCAUGCCCAGUCUUACUCAAACAUGGCCUAUCUGUAUGAAAUAGGUAAAGAUAAUGCUGAUCACACUUUAAAACACUCUAAUGUGAAAGCAAUGAAUGAAGUUAAAAGUAAUUAUUUUAGCACCUAAUGAAGACACUGGAACAUAAUAAGAGGUAAAUCAAUGUUCGUUGAGGACAUACCUGGAUAAAAAAAAAAAAAAAGAUGCUAAAGAAUUUAAUUGCUUACAUACAGACAAGAUAAGCAUUUAUUGGUUCAUUGGAAAUCAAUCAUUUAACACAAAACAAUAGAAUAUCAGAAGAGGACAACCAUGGAGAUCAUUUGUUUUAUUCCCUUACUGGAAACUUAAAACUACCUGGUGGGUUUUUGUAUCUAUUGCUCUUUCUGCUGCACCAGCAGUUUCCUACUGUCUACUGUGCAGCCUUCCAUUCUGAGGUGGUGGUGGCUUGGAUAAAGUCAUGAAGAAAGGCAGGAAGUACAGGCAACAUGAAAAAAGGCCAAGUAGGUGGGUACCCACAUCUCCCACUCCCACAAAAGAACCCUUUGUUAUCUGUUAUCUCUCUACAUGUUAUGGGUUCUUCCCAUGAAACGGAUAACACAUCCAAUGAGUUUGAAACUAUACAUUGCACCAUGCUCCCAAUGGUUGAAAAUAUGAAUUAAAUUUUCUCAGUAUUAGCUAUCAUGUGAUGUUUUCUGUAAUCCACUAAAUUUAACAAGGAUUCUAGAUUUUUAAAUAUU